AGAGUUUGAUCCUGGCUCAGAUUGAACGCUGGCGGCAGGCCUAACACAUGCAAGUCGAGCGGUAGAGAGAAGCUUGCUUCUCUUGAGAGCGGCGGACGGGUGAGUAAUGCCUAGGAAUCUGCCUGGUAGUGGGGGAUAACGUUCGGAAACGGACGCUAAUACCGCAUACGUCCUACGGGAGAAAGCAGGGGACCUUCGGGCCUUGCGCUAUCAGAUGAGCCUAGGUCGGAUUAGCUAGUUGGUGGGGUAAUGGCUCACCAAGGCGACGAUCCGUAACUGGUCUGAGAGGAUGAUCAGUCACACUGGAACUGAGACACGGUCCAGACUCCUACGGGAGGCAGCAGUGGGGAAUAUUGGACAAUGGGCGAAAGCCUGAUCCAGCCAUGCCGCGUGUGUGAAGAAGGUCUUCGGAUUGUAAAGCACUUUAAGUUGGGAGGAAGGGUUGUAGAUUAAUACUCUGCAAUUUUGACGUUACCGACAGAAUAAGCACCGGCUAACUCUGUGCCAGCAGCGCGCGGUAAU
rnacentral:rRNA from 1 species